CUUGGUCAUUUAGAGGAAGUAAAAGUCGUAACAAGGUUUCCGUAGUGAACCUGCGGAAGGAUCAUUAACGUAUCGAAUGAGGGGUGGGGUUGGAUGCUGGCCCGUGAGCGACGUGCUCGCCCCGCCCGUCUUCUACAUCCACACACCCGUGCACCUUUGGGCGAGCGUCCUCCGUUUGGAGCCGUCCGGCGCGUUUCCGCGUCGGACCGGGGCGCUCUCCAACACACACGCACCGCAGCCUGUCUUUGUAACGCAUGUAAACCGCCCCACGGGGUGACAAAAGUUAAUACAACUUUCAACAACGGAUCUCUUGGCUUUCGCAUCGAUGAAGAACGCCGCGAAAGUGCGAAACGUAAUGUGAAUUGCAGAAUUCAGUGAAUCAUCGAAUCUUUGAACGCACCUUGCGCUCCUUGGUAUUCCGAGGAGCAUGCCUGUUUGAGUGUCGUGAACCCCCCCUCAACCCCGUUUCCCUUUGUCGGAGCGGGUUUGGAUUUGGACGCCUCGGCCGCCGCCGCUCGUCUUUAAACGCAUUAGCUUGGUCCCUCUGGUCGGUCCAAAACGACGGUGUGAUAACAAACGCUUAGUGCGCCGUUCGUCGCCGGACCGGUGGGGUCGUUACAGCCGUCUUCGGACAAGCCCCUUUCACGUCGUCUGACCUCAAAUCAGGUAGGACUACCCGCCGAACUUAAGCAUAUCAAUAAGCGGAGGA
rnacentral:misc_RNA from 1 species